rnacentral:rRNA from 1 species
GACGAACGCUGGCGGCGUGCCUAAUACAUGCAAGUCGAGCGGACAGAUGGGAGCUUGCUCCCUGAUGUUAGCGGCGGACGGGUGAGUAACACGUGGGUAACCUGCCUGUAAGACUGGGAUAACUCCGGGAAACCGGGGCUAAUACCGGAUGGUUGUUUGAACCGCAUGGUUCAAACAUAAAAGGUGGCUUCGGCUACCACUUACAGAUGGACCCGCGGCGCAUUAGCUAGUUGGUGAGGUAACGGCUCACCAAGGCAACGAUGCGUAGCCGACCUGAGAGGGUGAUCGGCCACACUGGGACUGAGACACGGCCCAGACUCCUACGGGAGGCAGCAGUAGGGAAUCUUCCGCAAUGGACGAAAGUCUGACGGAGCAACGCCGCGUGAGUGAUGAAGGUUUUCGGAUCGUAAAGCUCUGUUGUUAGGGAAGAACAAGUACCGUUCGAAUAGGGCGGUACCUUGACGGUACCUAACCAGAAAGCCACGGCUAACUACGUGCCAGCCGCCGCAGUAACAC